UGAUAAUACUAUUUUAAAUUUAGUUUUUUAUAAAAUUCUUGAAGUAAGAGGAAAGUCCGGACACCAUAGAGUAGCACAGCGGAUAACAUCCGUCCAAUGUAAAUUGAGGACUAGUGCAACAGAAAGCAAGUACAGUUCGGCUGUAGUGAAACCAGGUAAACUCUGUGCGGUGCAAUGUCAUGUACAUUAGAGUUUGAGAGUUACUCGCUCGAUUCUAAGGGGUAGGCAGAUAGAUUCUAAGAGUAAUUUUAGAACUAGAUAAAUGAUAAGACUCUCUAAAGAGAACAGAAUCCGGCUUAUUGGUCUGCUUUUUUU
rnacentral:RNase_P_RNA from 1 species